rnacentral:rRNA from 1 species
GACGAACGCUGGCGGCUUUCUUAACACAUUCAAUUCUAACUUAAAUUCCCUUCUUUCAUUUUACUCUAUUUUCUAACUUUUUAUUAACACUUUUUUUAUCUUCCCUUCACUUCUUUAUAAUCCUUUUAAACUUGUUCUAAUACCGGAUAGGAGCCAUUUUUAGUGUGAUGGUUGGAAAGUUUUUUCGGUGUAGGAUGAGCUCGCGGCCUAUCAGCUUGUUGGUGGGGUAAUGGCCUACCAAGGCGGCGAAGGGUAGCCGGCCUGAGAGGGUGGACGGACACAUUGGGACUGAGAUACGGCCCAGACUCCUACGGGAGGCAGCAGUGGGGAAUAUUGCACAAUGGGCGCAAGCCUGAUGCAGCGACGCCGAGUGGGGGAUGACGGCCUUCGGGUUGUAAACUCCUUUCGCUAGGGACGAAGCUUUUUGUGACGGUACCUAGAUAAGAAGCACCGGCUAACUACGUG